AAAAUUCAAUAGCUCCGAGCUUAUUUUGCCUAAGGUUAUCGUCACUAUGGCUGAUGAGCCGUCAGGGUAUUGUUGGAAACUUCAAUGCCUCCUUUUGGAAAGGAGUAAGAUGAUAUAACCU
rnacentral:ncRNA from 1 species